GAUGAACGCUGGCGGUAUGCUUAACACAUGCAAGUCGAACGGUCUUUUCGGAGAUAGUGGCGGACGGGUGAGUAACGCGUAAGAAUCUACCUUCAGGUUCGGGACAACCACUGGAAACGGUGGCUAAUACCGGAUGUGCCGAGAGGUGAAAGGCUUGCUGCCUGAAGAAGAGCUUGCGUCUGAUUAGCUAGUUGGUGGGGUAAGAGCCUACCAAGGCGACGAUCAGUAGCUGGUCUGAGAGGAUGAUCAGCCACACUGGGACUGAGACACGGCCCAGACUCCUA
rnacentral:rRNA from 1 species